UUGCUGUAAAAAACGACUCCUGAUGUCAGUUACUCAGACAGAACACCAAACUGGCCCCCAGAUACUGAAGGAGAAGCCUUGCUAGCGGGGGAUGUUUGGAAGUUUUGGUCACUGCAACCCAAGCAGACAUUGAGGUACAUCAGAUGACCAUAUUUACCUUCAUACAGACACCCCCACCCUCAUUAUGACGGUGGAUCUAUUGAGGGAAUUUUCAUCAUGAGAGCUGGACAGCAGUGAAACAUUUGCAGCUGCCUGCUGCUGCUCUUUGUGGAAACAUGUUGAAGGAUAUCAACACUAUCACAUUUGACUGAAAGUUGCUGCAGCUCUCUGGGCUGAACUUGCAGGAAAAAUGUGAAUGUCGUCGAAGACAGGAAAAUGUUGAAAAUUUUAAAAAUGUUUAAAUAAAAUUAUUUUUUAAAUUAAGAACAAUGUUUGGAUUGCCUUUUGAUUUGUAUUUGUUAUUCUGAAGUAUACCUUAUUAGUAGUACAA